UCGUGACACACUAUGCCUUAUCUAAUUAGCCAAAACAUCCAAUUCAACUCCAAAUAUCUUCAUUACACUUCCAAUAUUCCAAAUACACCAAAGUACCUUAAUGAGCUUAAUUGUGACUUAAUUCACUGUAACCAAAAUUCAUUCCGAUUUCGAUAUCCGAUACCAUAAAUCAUCAAUUACGAGCUAAAUAACAUGAAUUACAACCAAAUCCAUCAUCAACAUGCCCUAUAGAAAAUUCGACCAAAUGAGGGUGGUUGAAGAACAUGUGAUUUUUUUGCUUGUUUUUCCUUCCAAACAUCACAAAAUGACUAAAAACACUAGGAUAUUAUGAAAUCUAGCAAAACUCAUCACCAAAACUUCUCUCUCUAGGUUUGGCCAACAAAGGUUCCUUCUUGAAAACUUGAAUUUCAGCCAUGGAGAAUGAAAAAGAAUGCAUGGGAAAGGUAGAUCACAAGCUAAAAUAAAAAAAAAUCUUACCUUUGCUUACUUGAUUCCUUGAAAUCCAACAAUUUCUCUUAGAUUUUUCCUUUCUAAGGUUUUUUCUUCUCUUUUUCUCUUCG
rnacentral:lncRNA from 1 species